rnacentral:lncRNA from 1 species
ACUGUGCUCUCAGCGAACAGAAUGCCUAGCUGUUCUGGAGGCUUCUUAUCUCGUCUAGGUCUUCUGCUGGAAGGGUUGGCUCCUUCUGAGAACUAUGAGGAGAAAGUGUUCUUUGCCUCUUCUAGCUUCUAGUACCUCCUGGAAGUCCUUGGCUGCGGUUUUGUCACUCCAAUCUCUGUCUCCAUCUUUGCACGCCCAGCUCCUUUGUGUAUCUUUGCCUCAUCUCCCCUCUGAAUGCCUUCCUUUGUCUCUACAUUUUCCCUUUCUAUAAGGACGUCAGUCUUUGGAACCCGGCCCUAUCUUUGUGAUCUAACUUAAGCUUGACUAUCUUUGUAAAGAACCUGUAUUCAAGUAAGGCCACAUUCUGGGGUGCUAGAGAUUAGGACUUCUUGUCUUUCGGGGUCGUACACAACUCAACCCAAGACACCAUCAAAAGUGUGUUCCCUGUCAGUUAAGCUACCACAGUGGAGGUAUCCAUGCAAAGGCACACAGACAGCUGAGGGAUAUCUUUCUGGACCUAGAUGGUGUUUAAGCGAAUAAGCAGGAAAAAAGCUUAAAGGUGUUAUUAUUGAGCCAGGCGUUGUGGUCCAUACUUUUAGUCCAAGCAGGCAGGAGGCAGACCCAUGUUCCUGUGAGUUCUAUACCAGCUCAGGCAACAAAGUGAGGCCCUUUUUCAAAAACAAAAAAACAAAAAAACAAAAAAACCAAACAAACAAACAAAAACCAAAGGUAUUCUUAUUGCUGUUCUUGUUACUACUCUCAACGUCCUUCUUCAAGUUUUUGUCAUUUACUCAUUCAUUCAUUCAUUCAUUCAUUCAUUCGUUCAUUCAUUCAUUUGUCAUAACUUUGUUGUUAAAUAUGGUAGCCCCUGUUCUAAAGGCAAUCAAUAAAACAGACACAAAUUCUGA